rnacentral:rRNA from 1 species
GUCCACGCCGUAAACGAUGAUAACUAGCUGUCCGGGCACUUGGUGCUUGGGUGGCGCAGCUAACGCAUUAAGUUAUCCGCCUGGGGAGUACGGUCGCAAGAUUAAAACUCAAAGGAAUUGACGGGGGCCUGCACAAGCGGUGGAGCAUGUGGUUUAAUUCGAAGCAACGCGCAGAACCUUACCAGCGUUUGACAUGCCUAGUUUGGUUCCAGAGAUGGAUUCCUUCAGUUCGGCUGGCUAGGACACAGGUGCUGCAUGGCUGUCGU